UAUCCCCUGAACUCGAACUGUUCUAAAUAGAAGGCGGAAGAAAGGAGGGCGGCGGCGGAGAGUGGAAGAAGGCCAAGGAGAUGGCAGAGCAGCAGCUUAGCAUGGGCAUUCUCAUCGACAUUGUGGACGAGGAGUGGAUGCGUGACACUCUCCCCGACGAUGAUAUCCCGCUGCCGCCUGUAAUGGUCGCCAAGACCGACGACGCUGAAGAAGCGCAUCAGGAAAGUCAACCAGUUGAAAGAGAUGUUUGGCGCGACCUUGCCCUGGAAAAUGUGUAAGCACUUCAUGUGGGACAAGGACUGUGGUUUCUUCCACUGCGGUGGCCGCAAUAACUGGUUUCGUCUGCUUUCCAUCCUGCCAUAUCUCAGGCAAUGCUUCUUUUAUGUUGUAAAUGCUCUCCAGUGCAAGAUCAGCCCCUGGUACCGGCACUGACCUCCCAACCUGCACAAUCGCCCAACAGUGACAUGAUUCUUGUGAAUCCUGUGGAUCUUUAGAUAUAUGCUUGCUUUGUUUGCUUUAGGAGAAGAAGCUGCAUGAUCCUUAAAAACUCUGGAGAAAGAGGGGGGAGUAUUGACUUACAAGGACAGUAUGAAGACCUGCUGCCUUUCCUGCUGCAAUGUUUUUUGCGCUGUCGUCAAAGAAUAUCUGCAUGCCGGAGACUAUCAAUCAGUUCAUGUCCGAUUGUGAAUGGAUAUGGGAAGUGAUCUGUAAAUUGUGGCCUACUGUUUUCUUGGGAUCGAUGUUUGCGAUCCUCAUGGCGGUUUCGAUGGCUUCCAAAGAUGGCUUGCAGAGUAUUCUUCCCUCGCAAUUGGCCCUAUCAGUGUUUGAUACAUUGUCUCUGAGAGUAGUAGUGACCUUUUCAGUUGGAUUCAGUGUCUCGAAGCAUAUGAUUCCUUCAAAGCAGUUUUCCAGGCCCAGCCUGCUUAGAACUCUUGCAGCAUGAGCUUUGUCUGCAUUUGUGAAGAUCUGAGAAAAAGAUGGCAGUUAAUCACAUCAAAGAGGAGUAAAUUACCAGAAUUCUUGUUCGAGUUCGCAGUUCUCGCUUACCAUCUUUCUCUGUGGCAUUGAAAGAAGCAGAUUCCUCAACAAAGGAUCAGGUUUCAGUGUAUGGUAUGGCAAUUUUCCAUGAACAUAUGCAUGGAACUCAUCGUUGUCAAAUUUGUAACCCAGUGCCUGUCAACAAAAAGAGGAACAAAGAAGAUUCAGUGGAUCACACGGCUAAUUUGACAUGCUUCUUGAUCAAGUAGAAGUUCACACCUUAAGACCAGCUAUUGUUGUCCCAUACUCUUUGUACAAUUCCAGGGACAUUUCUGGGAUUUGGCUUUCUUCUAUUUGGAGAUGGUGCAGCAUGUAAUCUGUGGUUCAACACAAUUCAACCCUGAGAUCAGUGUGAUAACUCAUUGCCUGGCUAUAUAUUUAUCUUGAAAGACCAGGAUAAUUCAUUUCAGAUAAAUGGAAGUAAUCAGAAGAGACUGGAUUUAUGGAAUCAGAUGUAAUGCUGCUGCAGCUAAAUUUUACCUUCAAUGUUCUUGCCACAAGCGACACAGAUGCCUGAACUAAAAGGAUAUAAGGUAUCAUCCAAAUCUGAAAAUUAGUGAAUAGGUAUGUAAGGCUUCAUUAAAGAUCAGAUCAAAUAUAACUGUGUCUGAAGUCUGAACUCACCAAAGAGCAGACACUCGUACUUGGAUUCACUUACAGCAGCUUCCAUUCUCAAAUUUUGUUCCCUCAAAGACUGAAACAUAAGCACAAUAAUCAUUAGAGAGCCCCUGAAGAAUCAGAAAGACCAUCAUGCUUCACUCAAGAUAGGGGAAUGAGAUCAACAGAUCAAAUGCAACAUGAAAAGCUGAAACAAAAAUGAGAGAAGAAAAAGAGAGAAGUUAGAGAGAAGCAUCAACAAUACCACCUUCACAGGAAGACCCUAAUUGAAGAAACAAAGAGUAUGCCAGUAUGGAUGAUUAGAGUGAUUUCUCAUGAGGAUCGAUUUAUACUAAUUAAGGAAUCAAGAUUGUUGGGUAUGGGGGAUGACACUUGCAAUUAUUCCAGUGGGAUAUGGUAAGAAAGCGUAUAUUACUUUUAUACAUUGAAUAAAGCAGUGGAUCUGCUUUUGUGCUUUCCUAAACAGAUCCAAGCGUUCACUCAUACAGACUGAAGCCAAGUGUGGGAAAGAAUACCCUCAAGGAAUUCACUGCUACAGAGUCGAUUUGUCCAUGCGAUUUGAAUAAAAAUAAAUAUAGAAAGUUGACUUGACUUGAACGGUCAUGGAGGAACCUUUACAUAUGUUCAAUGCAAGCCUUCCAUUUACUUGGCAUAUCCAGGUUCUACCUCUCUUCUCUGUUCUUUGCUAUAUGGCCACUGACUGCUAAAUUCCAACUUGUAUCUAGCAUCAACUUCUGGAAUCGGGGAGGAGCAGUUUGCUAGGAUUCUACAGAAUUUAGCGGAGGAUGAGAGUGUGGACAACUAGAUAUUGUGGAACGAAUUGGAGAAAAGGCAGAAAAGAAGGUUGGUCUGAGUUAGAUAAGCAUGGAAAGGAGGAUGAUCUAAUACAACGCAACCAGCCUUUAAUUAGCGGAUCAUGAGGUUGAAGAUCCUAAUAGACUGUCUGAGCAAUUGGAGGAGCUCAGUCGGAAGACGAGGGGAUGUAAGCUGUAGGUGUCAAUCCACAUUCCUUUCUGGAACAACCAAAUUCAGGAGAAGUCGAAUCCUACAAAACUAAGUCGGGGGUGUAUUAGGUAAAAUUUCUUUGAUGCUUGAGUUAGUUUGGGAGUUAGGUGUCGAUGAGGAGCCGAGAAUGGUAAAGCCGAAGGCACUAAUUGAAUGAGACAAUCUCGCACUUGAAACCUUCUGUAGUGUGACUUAGGAUCAUUAUACUGAUAGACGUGUAUUGAUGUUGGGGAUGGUUUCACGUAUUCCCCAACCCAAGUGAAAUUGUGUUAAAUCGAAUCUAGAGAAUAUGUAACGGGUCAGUAACAUUUGGAGAGUGUCAUCAUGUCAGCCACACAUGAUGGAAGUGAACAUAACAUUGAGAUAUUAGUUAUUUGAUACUAAGAUGUCGGCCAUGUAAUACUGAAGUAUUGGUCACAUUAUUAUUUUUCUAUCGUCUCUUA